rnacentral:rRNA from 1 species
CGUGUAGGCGGCCUGGUAAGUCAGAUGUGAAAGCCCUCGGCUUAACCGGGGAAGUGCAUCUGAAACUGCCUGGCUUGAGUACGGGAGAGGGAGGCGGAAUUCCCAGUGUAGAGGUGAAAUUCGUAGAUAUUGGGAGGAACACCGGUGGCGAAAGCGGCCUCCUGGACCGAUACUGACGCUGAGACGCGAAAGCGUGGGGAGCAAACA